UACGAAGGGGGCUAGCGUUAAUCGGAAUUACUGGGCGUAAAGCGUGCGCAGGCGGCUUUGCAAGACAGAUGUGAAAUCCCCGGGCUCAACCUGGGAACUGCAUUUGUGACUGCAAGGCUAGAGUACGGCAGAGGGGGAUGGAAUUCCGCGUGUAGCAGUGAAAUGCGUAGAUAUGCGGGGGAACACCAAUGGCGAAGGCAAUCCCCUGGGCCUGUACUGACGCUCAUGCACGAAAGCGUGGGGAGCAAACAGG
rnacentral:rRNA from 1 species